GCAGGCCGCGUUGCGGACUGCCAGGCUCCGGCCCCGGCACCGGGAGGUGUUCCUGCUGCGCGGGAUCAAGGCCCAGGUGGCCCUGAGGCUGGCGGAGCUGGCGCGGCGGCGGAGGCAGCGGCAGGCACGGCGGAAGGCCGAGGCUGACAAGCCCCGAAGGCUGGGGCGGCUCAAGUACCAGGCACCUGACAUCGACGUGCAGCUGAGCUCGGAGCUGGCAGACUCGCUCAGGACCCUGAAGCCCGAGGGCGACAUCCUUCGAGGCCGGUUCAAGAGCUUCCAGAGGAGGAAUAUGAUCCAGCCUCGACAGAGAGCCAAGUUCAAACCCAGUGUGCAGUCCAUCUUCCAAGUUUCCAGAAGCGGCUGAGAUUUUUAAAAACAGCUGUAAUCUGCGGUCAUUGAUGGAUCCCCUGAAAUGCUGGGCACACUGACUAGCCUCUUGUAUAGAGUCUCAAGCCUGUGGCCAGAAGCAGCUGUGUGAAGUAGCCG
rnacentral:lncRNA from 1 species